CCCUCAGUAACGGCGAGUGAAGAGGGAAGAGCUCAGUUUUGGAAUCUGGCAGUCAUUUGCUGUCCGAGUUGUAAAUUGAAGAGAAUGUCAUCCACACUGGACCAUGUCUAAAUUGUAAUGAUCCACAGUCCUUUGAUGGAGUAUCAGAGAGGGUAAUAAUCCCGUCUUUAACAUGGACUACCAGUGUUUCUGUGAUGCACUCUCUCAGAGUCGAGUAGUUUGGGAAUGCUGCUCUAAUGGGAGGUAAACUCCUUCUAAAGCUAAAUAUUGGCGAGAGACCGAUAGCGAACAAGUACCGUGAGGGAAAGAUGAAAAGAACUCUGGAAAGAGAGUCAAAUAGAACGUGAAAUUGCUGAAAGGGAAGCGUUUGGAGUCAGACGCAUCUUUCAUGCUAUUACCACUCAGCGGCAUGAAGGCUGAGAGCGGUUACUUGAAGAUGGGCCAGUACUCACGAAGACCAUUGAAGAAGGGGUCAUGGAAUGUAGCUCAAGUCUUGAGUGAUUAUAGCCUUGAUUCAGAAGCAAUGUGUCUUUGUGUGAGAUUCACAGCACCAACUUUGAGUGCGAGACCUGG
rnacentral:rRNA from 1 species